rnacentral:rRNA from 1 species
AACGAACGCUGGCGGCAUGCCUAACACAUGCAAGUCGAACGAAGUCUUCGGACUUAGUGGCGCACGGGUGCGUAACGCGUGGGAAUCUGCCCUUGGGUACGGAAUAACUCAGAGAAAUUUGUGCUAAUACCGUAUAAUGUCUUCGGACCAAAGAUUUAUCGCCCAAGGAUGAGCCCGCGUAAGAUUAGCUAGUUGGUGGGGUAAAAGCCUACCAAGGCGACGAUCUUUAGCUGGUCUGAGAGGAUGAUCAGCCACACUGGGACUGAGACACGGCCCAGACUCCUACGGGAGGCAGCAGUGGGGAAUAUUGGACAAUGGGCGAAAGCCUGAUCCAGCAAUGCCGCGUGAGUGAUGAAGGCCCUAGGGUUGUAAAGCUCUUUUACCAGGGAUGAUAAUGACAGUACCUGGAGAAAAAGCUCCGGCUAACUCCGUG